rnacentral:rRNA from 1 species
GAUGAACGCUGGCGGCGUGCCUAAUACAUGCAAGUCGAGCGAACAGACGAGGAGCUUGCUCCGCUGACGUUAGCGGCGGACGGGUGAGUAACACGUGGAUAACCUACCUAUAAGACUGGGAUAACUUCGGGAAACCGGAGCUAAUACCGGAUAAGAUAUUGAACCGCAUGGUUCAAUAGUGAAAGACGGUUUUGCUGUCACUUAUAGAUGGAUCCGCGCCGCAUUAGCUAGUUGGUAAGGUAACGGCUUACCAAGGCAACGAUGCGUAGACGACCUGAGAGGGUGAUCGGCCACACUGGAACUGAGACACGGUCCAGACUCCUACGGGAGGCAGCAGUAGGGAAUCUUCCGCAAUGGGCGAAAGCCUGACGGAGCAACGCCGCGUGAGUGAUGAAGGUCUUCGGAUCGUAAAACUCUGUUAUUAGGGAAGAACAAAUGUGUAAGUGACUAUGCACGUCUUGACGGUACCUAAUCAGAAAGCCACGGCUAACUACGUG